UGAAACAUAGCAUUGGAGCUUUCCCCGAUUUUAUACUUUACUUUGGUCUUUUCUUUUGUGAGAAUGAUAUUCUUACUUGUCUUAGUAGUUGGUCCUUUUCUUUUGUGAGAUUGAUAUUCUUUCAAGUUUCUAUAAAUUUCUCUCCACUUCUCUCUUUUGAUUUAAUUUCUUCUUUUCAUCUUCCAAAUCCUAUAACCAUUUUGUAGACUUAUAUUUUCAAAAUUGUUUAUAUUUUGGAUUGCAGUUUCUUCCUUGUCAAAUCGGGACUUUGGUUUGUUUUCGUUCUUGGGUCUUGUUGGUUGACUUGUUUAUAAAAUAUAAUACUAUGUUUUCUUCUCUUGUUCUUAGCAUUUAUAUAAAGUAGUGUCGUUUUUUUUUUUUUUGGUCAAUAGUUAGGUGGGGUUCUGAGGAGAAAGGGGAGCCUCGAAUUUGGAUAAGGAGGGCCACAUGAGUGCUUAAUUUCCACUAUGGCACUUGCCCUCCUCAAGUGGUGUUAGACAGCUGACUUUGUUUCAUUUUUGUUCUUUCAUGAUACUCUAUUAACAUAAAAUCUGGUUGAAUAUUAAUUUGAAGCGAUAUGAAGCGAUAUGAACCAUCACAUGAAAGAGGAACGUACAUACAUGAAAAGUUGAUGAGGAAUAUUUUGUAACUAUUUUCACAUGCAUGAGCAUUUGUAUGUAUUAUGAAGGGGAAAAAAAAUUAAGAAGUGAAUGAUAACAUCUGUCAUCUUACCAUAAAAAAUUCUCAUUUUCAGAGGACAUGUCAGUUGGCGAAGUGUAUCCAAUUCUGACUGAUCAUGGUGCUAUGCAAGAGCCGACAUUGGAAGGAGGUCUCACUGUCACUGUAGGACAUGAUGAGAGCAAUGCCGAGGAUAUCUCUCAAACUUUCGUCAAAUAUGUGAAGUCUAAUGAUUGGGAUAAUAUGAUCAAGUUUCUUCGCCAACAUCGUGAGCUGGCAGGGAAUGCAAAAAUUCCAUUUGUGGUGCAGCAUGAUCAUUUUAAGAAUGGUACAGUUCUUCACUAUGCAAUCCUGAAUAUCAUGAGCUGCAGCGUGCGCAUUAUACAACAGUUGGUGGAUUUAAUGGCAAAGGAAGACUUGGAAAUUCAAGACUGUUACGGUGCCACAGCUUUUUAUCAUUUAGUAAAUUGUUAUCCAGAAAGGGUUGAAGUAGCUGAAUGCAUGCUUAAAAAAAAACCCCAAAUUAAUAAGGUGUUACGAUACCUACAACGUUGUAGUGGCCCAACGGAAGCCUAAAGGGGAAAGAAUGGCUCGCUAUCUCUAUUCCCUCACUCCACCCCAAACAUUAAGAGUUGUCGAAGCCGCUCAACUUAUUUCUCUCGGUUUUUAUUACAGCAGAUUUGAUAUUGCGUGGAAUUUGAUUCAACGUUACCCAAAAUUGGCCAUGGCUACAGACAUCAACGGGCAUAUCCCCAUAGUAGCAUUGGCCAAUAACCGUUUUGCAUUCAAAAGUGGAAGCCGACUCAAAUUAUGGGAAAAAUUGAUCUAUUAUGGUAUACCCAUAAAACCUCUUCCUACUAGUGUAAAUGUUCCUGAAGUGACCAUAGUGAUCAAAUGUAUCUCUCCAACAAAAAAGAGAAUCAAAGACAUCUCAUUUCCUCAGGUAUUUUACAUGUCUGCAAUCCAAUUUGGUUUUUGUUAAUGCUAUGGUUAAUUGUUCCAUAAUGCAUGCUACUACAAAAAUAUACGAACAUCUUCAUUCCAUAUUUCCUAACGAUUGUAUUCAUGAUAUCAGUAGAUAGAAUGUUAAGCUAGAGUCAUGUAAUUUAAGUUGGUCACAUUGACUUAGCAAAAUACCUAAAACACAAAACAUAAACAAAAUGGAUAGAUUAUAGUGAAUCUGUCCAAAACCAACUUAAAACCGAAAUAUAAAAGGGUUUUCUCGGAUUUCACCCCACAACUUUCUAUUCUUCUCGGCCCAGGUUAGAAACGACCUUGAUCCACCUUCCUUGUUCCCAAUCUUUGACAUGCAUACAAAAAACGGAAUUAAAAUUCGAAAUCUAGAAUCGAUCCAAAAACUAAAAGUUUUUAUUUUGGAAGACACUUACACUGGAGGACAACCCAUGAGGAGAGUGGGCUAGAACUCACAAUAAGUUUGCCAUAAUAAUUUGGUUCGAAUUCGCCUUUAGCAAGAAUUAAAUCUAAGACCUUUCACUUACAACAAGUAAAGAAAAAUACUACUAGAUCGUAGUAAAUGAACUUACAGGUUAAAAAUGGUAGGAACUGAGGAAUAUCUCUCUCUCUCUCCCUCUCGGCUAAUGAUAAAAUUUAACAAAAAGUUGGCGCACUGCCGCGCAGGAAAAACCAAGGAAAAAAUCGUUUUCUAAUUUUUACUUGCUUUCAAAUUUUGAAUUAUUUACUGGUAAGUUGAAUUUAGUCCCUCUGGGGAUCCAAUAAAACUAGUAAGAUCAUCUUCAAAUAAGAUGUUAAAAAUGUUAUAUAAACAUAUAACAGUAAUAAAUGACGUAUCAUUUACUCUAAUUAAGGUGUCAAAGCUGACACAGACAUAGAGAUGUCAAAAUUGAUGCUGGCAUCAACUAAGGAUUUGCUAAUUCCAAAAGCAUUUUACUUGCUUUCAUUUAAAUACUAGCAUAUUUAAGUAUUAUUUUAUUAUUUUUAAGUCACCAACAGCCCAACUUUUAAUAUUUUUGUUUAAAGAAAGCGUAAAUGAAACAACAAAUUGUGGCAUAUUGGGUGGAAUGAAAAUAUUGACAAUACGUCAAAUUGUCAAGUCAGCCAUCAAAUUGAAAUUUGAUGUUUUGAAUUUCACGUCUCUUUUGGAGAUGCUCUAAGAUGAAUUUAUAUUUUUAUAAUUUUUUGCCUUUACAUUGUUAAAAAUUUAAUUAAGUUUGAAGUUUCAUUGACUAUGGAUUAUAUGUUUUGUGCACAGAAUAUGAUUUUUUUUCAUAAUAUAGAAUAUGAAUUUUGUUAUUCUAUAUUAACAAGAUAGUACAAAUGUGAUAUAAAAAUGUGAUAAAAGUAGCAUUUUUGUAAGAAAACAUAAAAAAACAAAGUAAUACACAUAGGUGAGUAUGCCAACACGGAAGAAGAAUGACCCAUUUAUGGUUUUGUCAU